UCCAGACUCCUACGGGAGGCAGCAGUGGGGAAUAUUGCACAAUGGGGGAAACCCUGAUGCAGCGACGCCGCGUGAGUGAAGAAGUAUUACGGUAUGUAAAGCUCUAUCAGCAGGGAAGAAAAUGACGGUACCUGAUUAAGAGGCCCCGGCUAACUACGUGCCAGCAGCCGCGGUAAUACGUAGGGGGCAAGCGUUAUCCGGAUUUACUGGGUGUAAAGGGAGCGUAGACGGCAGCACAAGUCUGGAGUGAAAUGCCGGGGCUUAACCCCGGAACUGCUUUGGAAACUGUGCAGCUAGAGUACAGGAGAGGUAAGUGGAAUUCCUAGUGUAGCGGUGAAAUGCGUAGAUAUUAGGAGGAACACCAGUGGCGAAGGCGGCUUACUGGACUGUAACUGACGUUGAGGCUCGAAAGCGUGGGGAGCAAACAGGAUUAGAUACCCGCGUAUA
rnacentral:rRNA from 1 species